rnacentral:rRNA from 1 species
CGGGUGAGUAACACGUUGGAAACCUGCCCCAAAGUAAGGGAUAAGCCACCGAAAGGUGGUCUAAUACCUUAUAGUAUCCAUCUCGUAUGGAUUAAAGCUUUAUGCGCUUUGGGAGGGGCCUGCGUUUGAUUAGCUAGUUGGUGAGGUAAAAGCUCACCAAGGCGACGAUCAAUAGCUGGUUUGAGAAGAUGACCAGCCACACUGGGACUGAGAUACGGCCCAGACUCCUACGGGAGGCAGCAGUAAGGAAUCUUCCACAAUGGGGCAACCCUGAUGGAGCAAUACCGCGUGCAGGAUGAAGCGUUUCGGCGUGUAAACUGCUUUUAUCACCGAAGAUUAUGACUGUAGGUGAAGAAUAAGGACCGGCUAACUACGUG